rnacentral:snoRNA from 1 species
UCCCUCUCAGGGUCACACCUGAAGAGUUCCCAAGACUCUACCAGUCUCGACUAUGGGAGGGAGAGUCAAGCAGAGGCCUACCCAUUCCAUUCCUAGCUUUGCCGGUGGCUAGCGAAUAGAAGGCAAUCUGCUACAAGU